AUGAAAUCAAACACUUACCAAUUUUACCAGUUGGUCAAAAUUUGACCUUGUGGGCGUUUUGUGGAACGACAACUGU
rnacentral:tRNA from 1 species